rnacentral:rRNA from 1 species
GACGAACGCUGGCGGCGUGCUUAACACAUGCAAGUCGAACGGAAAGGCCCUGCUUUUGUGGGGUGCUCGAGUGGCGAACGGGUGAGUAACACGUGAGUAACCUGCCCUUGACUUUGGGAUAACUUCAGGAAACUGGGGCUAAUACCGGAUAGGAGCUCCUGCUGGAUGGUGGGCGUUGGAAAUUUUCGGCGGUUGGGGAUGGAUUCGCGGCUUAUCAGCUUGUUGGUUGGGUAGUGGCUUACCAAGGCUUUGACGGGUAGGCGGCCUGAGAGGGUGACCGGCCACAUUGGGACUGAGGUACGGCCCAGACUGGUACGGGAGGCAGCAGUGGGGAAUAUUGCACAAUGGGCGGAAGCCUGAUGCAGAAACGCCGCGUUCGGGAUGACGGCCUUCGGGUUGUAAACCGCUUUCGCCUGUGACGAAGCGUGAGUGACGGUAAUGGGUAAAGAAGCACCGGCUAACUACGUG